rnacentral:rRNA from 1 species
GAUGAACGCUAGCGAUAGGCUUAACACAUGCAAGUCGAGGGGCAGCACAAGGGUAGCAAUACUCUGGUGGCGACCGGCGUACGGGUGCGUAACACGUAUGCAACCUUCCUGUAAGUGUGGGAUAGCCUCCUGAAAGGGAGAUUAAUACCUCAUGAUAUGUAUUUGCUGCAUGGCAUUUACAUUAAACAUUUAUGGCUUACAGAUGGGCAUGCGUUCCAUUAGGCAGUUGGUGUGGUAACGGCUCACCAAACCUACGAUGGAUAGGGGUUCUGAGAGGAAGGUCCCCCACACUGGAACUGAGACACGGUCCAGACUCCUACGGGAGGCAGCAGUGAGGAAUAUUGGUCAAUGGGCGCGAGCCUGAACCAGCCACGUCGCGUGAAGGAUGACGGCCUUAUGGGUUGUAAACUUCUUUUACUAGGGGAAUAAAGUGAGUCACGUGUGAUUUUUGUCAUGUACCCUGUGAAUAAGCAUCGGCUAACUCCGUG